AAUGACUGGUGAUGGUUUUGAUCUGCUUCAUGGCCUGUCUCAAAAGAAGCUAUUGCUGCUAUUAUCUUUGGGAAACUCGGGCCUUUUGGGUGUGAUCUGUGCAGACUUCUCUCUGCCUGCACCACUGUGCCUGUCAGUCGGACCUGACCUUCAAAGACCUUGCAUGUUUUGCACGCAUAGGAUUAAUCUACACCCAAUGCAAUUCUCUUACUCCCUCAGGUUCCCAGGUUUGUGGAACAAAAACAGUUGUAACUCUUGAAGGCAGUGAUGUGCUCCACAAACUUCCUCUUUCUCCACUGAUUGUAGAUCCUCAGUCUGGAGAGGACAGGAAUUCAGAUUUCUGGCUUGAAACUAGCCCCGCUGUAUGAGUUAAUUGUUCAAUCUGCUCUAAAAGAAAAACGCAGUGAAGACUUGUCUACAAAUGAAUCUUGUUUCUUUGUGCCUAAAGGACUCUCAGAAACAACUGGAAGGAUUGAUGGUACUUGAACUCCUGGCCACUUGGCUCUAGGUACAUUCACCUAAUUUGAAUGCGUUUGAGAAGGAGAGAGGAUCUCAUUUAGCUUCUUUAUCUAAGCAUUCUACUUUUAAAGAA